CUGGGAGCUCUAGGAACCCAGAUUGGAUGGCAGACAAGGUCUAUCUGAUACUAGUCGAGUAAAUGCUGUUCUGACUUUCAAGCUCCAGAACAUCAACGGAUAAUCCAACUGAUGGCUGCCUUCGCAGAGAGAGUUGCUGUAUGGCUUUCAUCGUAUUAGACUCCGGGAUAAACGCAACAGAAGUCAACCUGAAAUUGAAGAGUCUCCUAUUAACAACCCUUGAUUCUUUCUUGCUUACUUGCUUAUAGCCCUCGUUGGCCGCUGGCCUAGAACUCACUAUGUAGACUAAGUUGGUCCUUUCCUCCCAGGGAUCUGUCUGCCUCUGCCUCCUGGCCACUGAGAUUAAAGUUAUGUCCAGCCAACAACCCGGCAAUUCUAACACUCCAGAACUAUUAUUUGGGGCCAGAAGGAGGCCUACACAGGCAAGGAUGCUCCUUCCACGUCCAGUGUACUAGCAAAAGAUGCCCUAACUUCCGCAGGAGGGUGGGUGGAUGCACACUGCUUUUUCAAAGUGUAGUGCCCAACCAAGUAAAUCACUCAGAUGCAAUCGAAGUGUCUCAAAAUUGCAAUAAGGAGUAAGAAUGGAAAUUGAAAGAUAAUACAUUAAAGAUGAUGGUUUUCUUGAGGCUCUACAUUGAAUAUAAACACAAAAAUAUGUACACCUGGGUUGUAGAGAAGGCUCAGCGGCUGAGAGUACUGGGUUCUCUUCCCAAGAACCCAGGUUAGAGUCCCAGCAUCCACAGGGUAUCUCACUGCCAUUUCAGUUUUAGGGGGAUCCCAAAAUCUCUUAACAGCCUUUGCAGGUACACAGACCACAUGUAAGCAAAACCCCGUAAGUGAAAAAUGAAAUUAAAUAAUUUUUUAAAAAAAGAACUGAGGGGUUGGGGAUUUAGCUCAGUGGUAGAGCGCUUACCUAGGAAGCGCAAGGCCCUGGGUUCGGUCCCCAGCUCCAGAAAAAAAAGAACAAAAAAAAAAAAAAAAAAAAAAAAAGAAA